CAAUUUGUCCGGUGUGUGGGAUGCAAUGGACUCUAGGAAGCUACAGGAUGUGUGGUACCAGUGACGCCACUCAGCUGCACCAGGCGAGUUAGGAGCAGAAGACAAAUGUCUCUGCACAAACUUCUCCUUGGUGACUCUUUCCAGAGGAGCUUCAGGUUCCAAGUGUGAAUACUCAAUCACGCGCUCCACAGAGGUCAUUUGAUUUUCAACUUCUGCAGACUGUCGUACUCCCCACUGGAACAUUCCAGACAGCAUCAUAGCAGAGGAGAUGGCCAAACCGAUAUCUCCACCAAGGACAUCUGCAAAAGACAUUGCCCAAAAAUACAUUCAUCAAUUCUUUAUGAUUUUGUAGCUUGGAAUUAGUUUUUAAAGACAAUUAUAUUUAAACCCAUUUAAUUUUUUCCAAUUAUGUAAAUCACUGUCUCUGGGUGAGCUAUACAGUAGUUGAGAAUCUUAAAAAAUCUAGUAUCAGCACCUUGCACUUUUAUUGUCCUGUAUCGUAAUACAAUAAAGCCUCAAUAACC